GUAACGACCCACCCCGACCUCCACAGGGCGUAUCUUACUGAUAGAUGCUUAAAAAUAAAAUAAUAAUAAUAAUCCUUUUACAAUCCAUAAAAGUUAUAUCCUUGAAAAUACAAAUAUAUAACGCAAACUGCAGCGGAAGAAUUUAAAAUUCAUGCCAGACCAUCUAAUUCCUCCAUUCAAGUCCUUCUCGACGCUUAUCACGAAUCAAUCCUUAUUUACGGAAACUGAAUCACAAUAAACUAUAAUGAGUACGAAACUCAGUAAGUAAACCAGUUUUGCAUAUACGAAAAUACAUACAUUCAUAUAUAUAGUGCAAAUGAAUGACGUGCCAUGGUAUUCGAAAACAUCGUAAAACAAAUCAUUGAAAUCUCAUUCUGUCUUUCUCAAACUUUUACAUUCUCUUUCAAACCACUUACUUGAGCUACCUUCAUUCGAUUACCGCUUAGUUGGACACUCCCUUAACUUUCAUACUCUUUAGGCUUCUCGCCAAUGCGUCCUUCGCCCACUUAUCUCAUAACUAUAUAAACAUCUAGAGUGUCCUCCACUAAGCCAGUAACAAAUUCAAGGAUCCAAGCCAAAACUGUAAAACAAUCUUUCUUUCCACACAUUCCGUUUGCUAAAAUCAACUUUCUCAUUUUACAGAAAACAUAAUGCAUUUUCGUGCUCAUGCCAAUGAAAUAUUCACACAUACGUAUGCCCAUGUCCAUAAACACACAUAACAACACAGCAUAUCAACACAUCGUAUAAACACAUGGGCAGAGCAUAUAAAUCAAUAUCCGUACAUAUAUAAAAAUAAGCUUUCCAAACAUGUCAAACAUAUAUAUUGUUUAUUGUGAUUCGUUUGAAAAUCUAGUUUACUUACCUCUUGGUAUCCUCGAGUAACAAAUGCACAUCGAUAUCAUCGGCCUAAAAAUAAAUAAAAAAUACUCUCAUAAGAAUAAAAUUAAACCAUAAUCAUAAACUCCAGUAUUCUCAAAUUCCUUAAUAUAAUCACAUUCCAUAGUUAACCUUAAAUAAUCUUAAUUUAAAUAAUAAAUCAUCAAAAUACUCAUAAUUCUUGAAAUUACGAAAUUACCCUCAAAUAUCAAAAUUACCAAAAUGCCCUUGAAUUCAAUAUUACCAAAAUACCCUCAAAUAUAAAAAUUACCAAAUUAACCUCAAAAUCAUAAAUUACCAACUUUAUCCUAAAUUUCAGCAAUUACUAAAAUACCCACAAAAUCUAAAAUUACAAAAUUGCCCUUAGACUGUGAAAUUACCGAAAUACCCUUGUCGGUCAACGGUCACCGAAAUUCAACCGACGGC
rnacentral:lncRNA from 1 species